AACGAACGCUGGCGGCGUGCCUAACACAUGCAAGUCGAACGAGAAAGGGGCUUCGGCUCCGAGUAAAGUGGCGCACGGGUGAGUAACACGUGGGUAACCUGCCUCUAAGAUUGGGAUAACUCGUCGAAAGAUGAGCUAAUACCGGAUAAGACCACAGUUCCCGCGGGAACAGGGGUCAAAGGUAGCCUCUGCUUGCACGCUAUCACUUAGAGAUGGGCCUGCGCGCCAUUAGCUAGUUGGUAGGGUAACGGCCUACCAAGGCAAAGAUGGUUAGCUGGUCUGAGAGGAUGAUCAGCCACACUGGAACUGAGAUACGGUCCAGACUCCUACGGGAGGCAGCAGUGGGGAAUAUUGCGCAAUGGGCGAAAGCUUGACGCAGCAACGCCGCGUGAGUGAUGAAGGCCUUCGGGUCGUAAAGCUCUGUCGGGAGGAACGAAUGCUCCCAAGGUUAACAGCCUCGGGAGGUGACGGUACCUUCAAAGGAAGCACCGGCUAACUCUGUGCCAGCCGCCGCCGUAAUAC
rnacentral:rRNA from 1 species